rnacentral:tRNA from 1 species
GGGAUUACCGUGCUAACAUUAGACACAGUAUGUCGUCCCAAUAGGUGGAAACUGCCUCUCCCGGGCCGUGUUUUUUUCACCUACACAGGAAUGUCUUUGUUUGCAGCUACGUGCAAUAUGAGCAAUAUUGAUUAAAAACGUAAAUAUUGCCACUACACCCUCGCAAACAAUAACAUACAUCUGAAACAAUAACAAGAGUUCAGUCUGGCUCUAAAUCUUUUAUUUUAUGAAUUUAACCCCGCGAAUUUUGUUGACACUUCGCAGAUGUGUGCAAUGAGGCGUGCGUAUCGGAGGGGUGUGUCUACUCUGCAGUACACUGGUAGGCUGGAGACGCAACGUCGCUGCAUGGCGAUGUUGCCAUACAUUUACAAUCCACCAGCGGUGGCCGAGUGUGCUAAAAAAAACCCCAAAAAAACCCAACAACAACAAAAAAACCCAGACGAUUACACACCUCCACUACACGCUUUCACAAGCAAAAUACGAACCUCGCCAGGAGCAGCAAUGUGGAGAUCCAGUUGCUUAUUAAAGUUCCUCUAGUUCCCUCUUCUGGAAGAAUCAGGAAGGACAUGUGUACUUGUCACACAUGGGUCCCUGUGAUAUAACAAUGCAACAGUACUAAAGCCCGCAGGGUUAGAUUGCUUCAGAAUAGCAUAGAGCUAUUCAGCCAUAAAUCCCUGCGUGCCUGCCAGAAAAAUGCACUUUUAUGCAGUAGUUAAGCUUAUUCCGGCAAUCAUAACAAAGAAAAGCCUUUGUUGUUUCAAAGAAACGAACUGAAAACUGAAAAUUACAUAAGCAACUUAUGGCUCUCAACUCUUUCAGGUGUUAAAAAUUUGAAUAUUGGACGGAGAACCUGCCAAACAACUGGGCUUGAAAAAUACUUUGGUAUUAAGUACCCUGGAACACCUAAUGUAGUCUUUGUGUCGUUGAUAGAUUUAUUACACAAACCCUUACCUCAGUCCACUAUGUCCAUAGCGCUUCUAGUUUCGAUUUGAGUUGAUGGCUUGCGACUUAUUUCCUUGGAUUAAUAAUUUCAAAUGUGUGUAAUAUUUCUCACCUAUAAUGCUAUUGGUUAAAAAUAAAGCCUCACUUUUCAGAUGCAUACAGCUGCACGGUAUAUUAGUUUAUAAAUUUAACUGAAUCCACACGUAGCGCUAAUGAACUUGGGAACCUUUAUUUUGAAAACGACGCUUUUAUUUUGUCAAGUCGGAUCGGAUAACGAGUAGCUAGCUAGAUUCUAAAGUGAUUAUCCUGUACGAUACAGGAUUGUAUUGAUUUUAUCAAGCGUGUCGGUUAGGCAGACGUAGUGGACAGUUUGCAUCUUUAAAUUGAUGCUUCGAAUAUAACGAGUUAGCUUUUUUUUCUUAUUCCGACACGGUCAAGUCUCUGAAGCUAUGAUCGUUAGCUCUGUUAGCUUUAUAUAUACGUAUAUAUGUGUGUAACCAGCAGUGUCUGAACACCAGGUAGUUGCAGCCCAAAGCCUAACCCUAGGCAAGAUAUAAUCGGAGAACUAAUGUGUUUAAUUCUAAGCGAGAGGUUAACGGCCUAAUUAUUAGUAGUGCCUGAAUUGGAAGGGAAUACGGUAAAACAUAUAUACGUGUACUUGAAGCUGUAUGUGCGCAGCAUUAACGUAACCGGUCCCAUGGUGUAAUGGUUAGCACUCUGGACUUUGAAUCCAGCGAUCCGAGUUCAAAUCUCGGUGGGACCUCGUCCUUUUAAUCGAUGCGUUGUGAUUCCUGUCGUGCCUAAAUUAUGCGUUCAAAGGCUGAGAUGUACCAAAUCGAACCGGCAGCCAGAUGUUUGCAAUUAGAACGUCAUAACUAAACUAUCACCUGUUCUUUGUAAGUAACACAGAGAAGAUGAUCCUUUAAACUGAAAUUGUCUCAAGAUGAGCAUAAUUUAUGACUUUAAUUAUGAAGACACUACUUGGUUUCAGAAAACUUGCUUUAAUGUUCUUGUCAAAUAUGACAUACAUCAUUCUUUUCACCACCUCAGACACCUAAAAUAUAUUACUUCUUUUACAUAAAAAUCCAAUAUGAAAAAUAAUAAUUGUGCUGAAGUAACCUAGAUACUGUUUCAGUGUACAGGAAAAACACAAAUAGCAAAAUGAAAAAUAUAUUUAAAAAAAAAAAGCAACAGUUCAAAGUAUCACAAUAGUCUUUGGUUUUAAGUGGAACAGUUCACUCAUGAAGUGAUUAUUAACUAAAAACUUCUCUAUGCGCUUUUAUUAUGACAUUACCAACAUAAGAAAAGUUGUUCAUAUUCAUGUAAUGCUUAUGACCUCUUAACUUACUGCAUAUUUGUUAAAAUCUAUUUUAAGAUUAAAUUUUACAUUACAAAAUUUUUUGCUAGAUAGUCUGCAUUUUAAAUUCUGGUUAACAUAAUGCUCUAUUGUAGUUAGACCUUUAUUAGUAUUCAUGCUGUGAGGACAAAACUCAUAAUGUUUCACAUUUAUAUGUAAUGAGUGAGUUAACCUGUAGCCACACCUUUGCCUUAGAUCAUCAGAAUACACACUUUCAUGAAUUCACUUGUUUUACUCUUUCCAGCGUUUCAUAAGUGCAACUAUGCCAGUUUACCCUUUAACACAUGACUCUUACUUCCUGUCACAUUCUGAGCCCUUUUUCUUCAGCUUUUGAUACUGAUGUAUGGAAAAUGUUAGGAAAAUAACAUGGAUGCUUGCUCAUGCAGUUUCAAAAGUUUGUUCAUCAUGUGAACAGUUUGAAAAAUGAUAACAAAUCAAUGAUUUUAACAACAAUAAUAAUAAAAGAUACAAACACAAAACAAAGUAAAUCUCUUUUUCAGUCUUAUUCAGCAAAUACCACCAAGUUUAGGUCAAUCUUUGGCUAUUCCUCUAAAUAAUACUUUGACCUACAGAGCAGUGAUUUGUCAGAAUUAGAGUCUUAUAAAAACAGUCAUACAGCCAAGCACAGUGAUGCAAAUUGUAUAAACGCAAACAAAAACUAUAUACACACACUUCAUGAGAAAAUAUGUCAAAAACCAUUUUAAUGUCUUCCUCAGAUCCCUAACAGUCCAGAGAGGUUUUUUUCCCC